UGUGUAGCAUAAUAAUGUUCAUUAUUUGCGUUACAUAUUAUUAGUACAGUGACGCAAAUAAUUAUUUUGCUUAGGUUUUGGUUUCUCUUAUAGCUUAGCUUGCUGCCUCCCUUUCACUAAACAAAAAAAAAAAACAUUUGCUACUCCAUCCCUUCCAUGACAGUGAUUUCCUCACCAAAACACCUAGAAAUUUGACCAAAAAACCCCAGAAAUUUGACUAAAAACCCCCUCAGAUUUUCGACCAAAAAUUAGACCAAAAACCCAGCAACAUUUGAGCAGAAAUUCAACCCAAAAACCAGAUAAAUUCGAACAAAAAAUUGUCCAAAAACCCAGCGUAAAUCGACCAGAAAUUUGACCUAAACCCAGCAAAAGUCGACCAUAAAUUCGUCCAAAAACCCAGAGCAAUUCGACCUGAAAUUCGACCACAAAACCCAGCGAAAUUCGACCACAAAUUCAUUUAGGUUUUCAGCGAUAUUCAAACCAAAAACUCCCAAGAUUUUCGACUAAAAAACCCCCCACAAAUUCAACAACAAAAUUGCAAUCAAAUCGGGAAAAAUUCAGAGCUACAUUCCCCUAAUUUUGAGCAAAACACCAAAAAAAAAACCCUAACAUAUUCGAAACCAUAUAAAUCCCAGAAAAAUUGAACAAAUUCGAGCAUAAAUCCUCCAUUUCCAGCAAAAAAAUUGAAUCAAAACCCUAAGUUCGAACCCUAGAAACCCCAAAAAAAACAAUCAAAAUUCCUGGCAGAUUAUUCGAGUAAUGCAAGGAAUUAUUGUCUGAAUACUUGAUUUAUUUUGCCCCCCAAAACCCUAGGAAAUUCGAGCAAAUUAAAGCAACAAUAAUUUGUAAAGCAACAUUGGUGAAUUUGUGAAGUCGAUUUCACCCAAGGGUGUUUUUGAUCAAGCUACUUGAGAGUUCUUUUGAAGUGUUUUUUGCUAAGCAAGGAUCAAGUGUUAUUUCAGGUGAAGUGAAUAAAGUGAUGCAUUGGAGUCCCGGGAUUUGGUUUCACUAAAUUAGGAAUGUUGGUUUUGUAUCUAUUUUGAGUACUCAUAACAUUGGUUGCUAUUUCUAGUUAUUAUUAAUAAAGAAGAGUAUUGAAGUUUCCGCUGCAAAGUAUUGUUAUUCUUAGUAAUUUGAGUAGCCUUGCGUAAUCACGCGGC